UACGAAGGGGGCGAGCGUUGUUCGGAAUCACUGGGCGUAAAGCGUGCGUAGGCGGCGAUAAAAGUUAGAAGUGAAAGCCCAGGGCUCAACCUUGGAAUUGCUUUUAAAACUAGAUUGCUAGAAUUCGGGAGAGGAUAGCGGAAUUGUCAGUGUAGCAGUGAAAUGCGUAGAUAUUGACAGGAACACCAGUGGCGUAAGCGGCUAUCUGGACCGACAUUGACGCUGAGGCACGAAAGCGUGGGGAUCAAACAGG
rnacentral:rRNA from 1 species